UCCAGACUCCUACGGGAGGCAGCAGUGGGGAAUAUUGCACAAUGGGGGAAACCCUGAUGCAGCGACGCCGCGUGAGUGAAGAAGUAUUUCGGUAUGUAAAGCUCUAUCAGCAGGGAAGAUAAUGACGGUACCUGAGUAAGAAGCCCCGGCUAACUACGUGCCAGCAGCCGCGGUAAUACGUAGGGGGCAAGCGUUAUCCGGAUUUACUGGGUGUAAAGGGAGCGUAGACGGCAUGGCAAGUCUGAAGUGAAAGCCCGGGGCUCAACCGCGGGACUGCUUUGGAAACUGUGUAACUUGAGUGCAGGAGAGGUAAGCGGAAUUCCUAGUGUAGCGGUGAAAUGCGUAGAUAUUAGGAGGAACACCAGUGGCGAAGGCGGCUUACUGGACUGUAACUGACGUUGAGGCUCGAAAGCGUGGGGAGCAAACAGGAUUAGAUACCCUAGUAA
rnacentral:rRNA from 1 species